CCAGCCUUCGGAGCGCUUUUUGCGACCGACCUGCAUGCUGAUUCAGCUCCUCUCCCACAUCGAAGUUGGACACAAACUGUCCCGGUCCACGGCUCAGCGGCUGCUAGACCGAAAGAGCGAGUGCAGAUCAGCACAGGUAAUCCAGGAAAUGCCAGGUUCAGAAAUUCCACUUCUUUGAAGUACUUCCACUGAUGCAGGGGGGCAGGACACCAAAGUGGAAUGGAUGACACUGCUGUGGAAGACUAAGGUAACUGGGAGACCAGCCUUCUUGGAUUCCCUUUCCCAGCCACUCAGCCAAGAGAGAAAGAGACAGAAUCAGUACAGGCUUUUAAGAAGUGGAGAAGGAGAAUGCAUUGCUUCCAUAUAUGCCAACAUAGUCUAAGCAAUAAAAUUAAAAAGUAAAACUGAGCUACAUAAAAGGAGAGUUGACCACAGUGCUGGAAAGAAAAAGUGCUUGUAUGAAUUAAAAGCAGAAGUCAAGCCACGUCUGGAAAGCAGCCUAUUUCAGAAGAGUCUCUGCACUGCCUACGGGGCUUCGCCAGCACAGGGAGAAGCUGCACACAACUGAGAGGUCUUCCAUUCAUUUCCGCAAAUGUCUUGAACCAGCCGACGUUCCAUCGACCUGCUGGAGCAGCUCCACACACAAAGACCCCGAACAGCUCCAUGCAUUUGAGUCAUG